UUUAAAUUACUACUGUGAGGCAGAGCUUAGAUAGGAAAAUUCAGAGCAUGUGCAUGGAUUGACUGGUCGUAUGUGUAUGUAUGAGAAGGAAAGAAAAUCCCAGGGACCCUAGUGGUUCCUUGCUUUUCAGCAUAUGGAAAAUUGCAUCAUCUGUUUGUUUUAUUGUGUGGAGUCCUGUAUCCCCUUUUUUGGUAGAAAGUACUAUCUUGUGCAUGAUAGGUGUUUUCGCUUGAUGUUUAAGUGUGUUUAAUUUGGGGGCAGAGUAAUUUCAAAUUAUUCAUCCUUAAUGGAACAGUUUAGGUGAAUAUCUACUCAUUUCACCAAAGUUUUUCACUAGUUUUUCACUAGUUUUUACUAGUCUUGGAUUAUUUAGAGAGAGGUGGUCUUAUCCAGAGCUGAUUCUAUGCAAAAUCAUGAAGUAGCAAAAGUUCAUCUUUGGCAUAUUAUUCUCUGUUUUGUACAGUCUCCUCCCAUCUUUCAUUAUAUCUUCUAGGUAUAGAAUUGCUUCAUGCUUCCCAAUUUUAUAACCCACCAACACUUGUCCUACUUUACACUUCCAUAUGUUUAAAACUUUUCCUGAUCCCUACUAUCCUGUAACAGGAUUUGUCCAUAAUAUACUUGGUGCCCUUGAGACCAUGCUAAUUGAUUACAUGACUAAUCUUAAGGGGGAAAAGAAGAAUUGAAGUAAAUUUUUGUGGCUAAUAAUGUGUCUCUAUUUACAGAUAAUAUUUGAUUUUAAUGGUAGUCAUAAAUGCUUAAGCAAAAAAGGGAGAAUAAGAAUUUUUUUUCAUUUAACAGCUGCUAAGACUAAGACUUUGUGGAGAAAAUAGAAAAUUAGAUUUAAAAACCUCAGUGUUUUGAUUUUUUUUUUUUCAUUUCCUCAUUGACUAGAGAUAAUUUGCUUGCCCUGAGUUUCAAUAAAGGCAUUUCCCUCUCAGCCCAGAAUGCCUGUUUGUAUACCUAUCUUAAUGUCAUCCUGGAAAUUCCUGAAACUGAAGUCAAAGCUAAUUGCUCAUAGAGAUCCAUCUAUCUCAUCUCUCUGUCAUGGUCCAUCUUUUAUUAUACUGUUAGUUUAUGUUCAUUGUUAGAAUUGCAUAUUCCUGGGAUGAAAAUGAGUGUAUGUCCUCUUUUAGAAGUGAGAGUGUUCACUGAAAAUGAGGUUAGGAGGGCUUUCCUUUAACCUCUGUUUCCUUUCUUCUCAGAACUCUUCCUAAAUUCCCUGGAACUCAUCCAAUGGAAGAUGGUACUAUUUGGGGGAGGUUAUUUAGUAUUCUUUCCACCUUCUCCUUUCUAUUAGGGAAGAUUUGAUACUUAGUACCAAUUACUCCCCCCUUCUAUUCUGAAUCCAUGGCUGGUAUUCAUUUCUCCCCAGCUAUAUCAGAAGCAAUCAGUAGUUCAAGAACAAUAUUAGAGUGAAUGAAACUCAUCUUGCACCAGUGGGGAUCUUAUCUAUACCUAACCAACAGCUAAGCAUAGUAAUGAAAUAGAAUGCCAUUCUGGGGUGGGGGGAGGGAGAGAUGCUUAGGCAGAAGGAUUACUGUCUGCUUCAUGAAUUGUUCUCCUGCUUUAGUAACCUUCUUAAUUUACUAGUUGUUCUUCCUAGGCAAUCAACAUAGCCUGUCCAUUAUCUGAGAUAGAAUGUGAAUUCUAUAAUAGUCAGUAUUGUGCUGUUUCUUUGUUUUGUCUUUGUAUUCCUAGAACCCUAGCAUAGUGCCUUGCACAUGAGAGGCACCUAAUAAAAGAUCAUUGAAUUGGAUUGGGUUGGAGAGUUCAUAGGAUAACAGAAUCAUUAGGGGUAAAGGUAUAAGGGAAUUGGAUAUCAACAUAUUCACUUUCUAGAACAAGAACCUGAUAUCUAGUGAAACCAAACAACUUUGCCAAGGUGGCCCACAAGUGCCAGGUAGAAGAGCUGAUAUUUAAAUGUUGUUAAGUCUUCUGACUAAAUCCAAUGUGCUUUUGCAUUCACAGUUCUUUUUCUCCUCUAGUUUUCUUCAACUAUAUAAACCAUUAUCAGGAAGAGGAAAUUAAUAUGCUCUCUUCAAUUCCUACUGAGAAUAUACCCAAGAAGAUAUGCUCAUAUGAGGAAAUCCAGGCAGCAGAAGAGUGAAGCAUGGUGGAGAGACUUGAGAUGAAGAUCCAUGGGGAAAAGAAGCAGACAUAGUUUCGCAAUUGGAAUGUAACUGUUGAUGGGCUACAUGGACAAAGUAAAUGAGAAAUUGAUCCCAAAAUAUGUUGAGAAAUAGAUCACAAGCUUAGGAGAGAUGUGUGAUAUGAUAGCAAGAAGAAACUUCAGCUGUUUUAAAAAAAAAGGCUGGCAUCAAAAGUCAAGAAGCUAUUGUUUCACUUCUCUUAAUGAUAAUUUACUUUUCAAAAGGUAGAGGAACCACAUGGGGAAAUUCUCUUCUGGAUCACAUUCUUACCAAUAUGUGAACUGUUUUCUGGCAUGUAAAAGAUGAAUUCUAGAUGGAGUGAGGGAGGAUAAGAGCAGGAGAAGAAAUGACUCCCUCUUUGAAUUUGUGUCAGAAGAGAAGAAAGCCAGAUUUUAGUUUUAUCUUUACCUUAGUUUUAGAGAUAGCAGAUUUUAAAGAGUUCAGAAGAAUGAAAGGAUUUCAUGAAAUAAAGUUUUUCAGUGGAAGUCAAUUAAUAGCAAUGGUAGUAUUUAAAGAAUGGGAUACUGAAGACACAAAGAAGUACUAUAUUAAACCUCAGAAUAAGUGGAGGUUGCUAACAAUUCCAGUGCCAACAGAAAAAGAUUAUUGAAUCAUAGCAUCAUAGAAUUGUCAGGGACUUUAGAAGACAACUAGUUGAAUAUGUAUCCUGGGCAGAAAACUUUUGCUUAAUCACUUCCAGUGCUGGAAUAGGUCACUGCCUGAAAAAAAGUGUCCCAAU